rfam:Bibersteinia trehalosi TSDA-ARS-TSMARC-192, complete genome.
UCACCACCAUCAUUUGACCGAUUAAUCUUUCGGGCAUUUGUUGCGUGUUCGGAAGAUAACUUCCGAAAUGAAAUGGCUUAACGCACCAAAAUAACCAAUUUCAACCCUUUCGGAAGGUAACUUUCGAAAGGGUUUUUUA